UUUGAUCUUCCCAAUUUUAUUUACUUUCCUAAAAUUGCACCUCCUCCUCUCAAAAUAGUUUUUUCCAUUGUUGUAAAAAAAAAGUAGUAUUAAAAUUUCCUUAUAAUUCCUCUAUAUGUAAUUGUUCUAACUUCUAAUCGUACCAAUCUUUCUGUAAUUGUACAAAAUUUUAUGUGGGUUUUGAAAUAGCGACAUAUAACCAGUGUGUUGUUGCUCUUCGCUGAUGUCGCUCCCAAAACUUCUGAGAAUUUCAGAGGCGACUGCACCUUGAUCAAAGAGCAUAUCUGGCAGAUCAAGAUAGAAAAAGGGAAUAGUCCAUGAGUUCACCUGCUUGCCCGAAGAUGAAGGGGAAGAAAGGAAUGCCAUGAACAGAGUAACCUGAGGGGCAUGAAAUGAACCAUCAUUCAAUUGUGGUUGAGUUAUGUUUCCAAGUCAUGAGGCUUUUUGCUGUAGCCUUGCCAUUCCUCCUACUUUUUGGAAAUUUUGUAACUGCUUAUAUCUGUAUGGAAUGCAGGACAAGAAAAAAAAUGCUUCAAAAAAGUGAUUGCUACAAUGACAGUUGGAAAAGAUGUUUCUUCACUCUUCACAGAUGUUGUUAAUUGCCUGCAAACAGGAAAUUUGGAGUUAAAGAAGCUUGUAUACUUGUAUCUUGCCAACUAUGCUUAAAGUCAACUUGAUCUUGCUAUAUUUGUCGUAAAUACAUUUGUAAAGGUAUUUCUGUGGUGAAACUCAUCAUUAAUCAUUUUUCUUCUAUAAAUAUUGCGGUUAUUCUUCUCA